GCCUCCCCAGUAGCUGGGACCACAGGUGCGAGCCACCACUCCAGCCUACAAUGCUUAAGAAAUCAGACAAAUCAGUUGUUGUUGUCUUACAUCAAGACCAACCCUUUAAUGCAUCGUGAAAGAUUGGAACACCUGGGUGGCAUGUGCAAGCGUCAUCGGAAUUGGUCUGAGGAUCGAAGCGCUGACCGCAGCCCCGGUUGUAGCACAGCAAGGCCAUUUUCUUUUCCCACCGUCACAGGCAAGACCCAAACACCGGGAACGUCAAGAGGGUGCAUUUACCACUCCCGUGUCGCUGGCACCGGCCUCGACAGUGAACUAUUUAUUAUAGGGAUUUCUGUGGGCCGGCUCUGAGCCGCCGUUUCUGGCCGUGCAGACGGAUUUCUACCACACGGUGGCGCUGCGGCUCUGCCAUAGAAGUCUCACCUUGGUCCAGGAGCCAGGCAGGGCCGGCCACAGGACCAGCCUACGACUGCGAUUUCAUCCGCAGCCUGCGGGGCAACGUGGGGCCUAUCCGUAGCUUUCAGCCUUUCCUGGACCCUACCAGGACAAGAAGAGAGGGGAGAGGUGCGAAGGAGGUCUGGAGAGGAGGAGGCUUGGGACAAUGCAGAGUCCUGAUAGUGAGGGUGCCCACUGACCGCUGUCAGGAGGGACAUGGACCGCUGCCGAGGAAUAAUGGGAUUUCCCACCGGCCCAGUCAUCUCCUACGCCGGGAAAAGGGAAGAGCUGCUCCCCCAUGGUGUGUGCGGGUGGGAGGGGUCUCGGGCAGAGAAGAGACACUUUUUCUGUCCUCCAGGCUGUUUCUGCCAAGUGAAGGCCUGGGCUGGAAGAGCCAGGAGCAAAGGAGAGAGUUGGGUGCUGAGCACCCAGCGGGAGAGGAUGCGUCCCAGUCAUCACACACCUGCUGACCACACAACAUCUCUGCGAGGUCCCCCCACAUACUCCGCCUGCAGCUGCCAUUUGGGAAAAUGAUUCUUGCCUCUUUCACCGUCUGUUUUGUAGGUUAGGACUCAUUUACGGGCCUAGGCCAGGACUCAGCUCUUUUAGAUCCUUAUUGAAAAGCAACAUCACACUUGUGCCCAGGGGUUCGAGACCAGCCUGGGCAACAGGACAAACCCACUUCUCUACAAAAAAUACAAAAUCUGUGUGGAAGGUAUGUGAACACUUGGGAAACGGAGUCGUUGUACACGUGUAUCAGGCCUUGAGCCAGCUGCAGAGUGGGCAUUACUGCCUGGUGCCCUCCUCCCUCACUCUGCCUCCCUGGAUGUUGGGGAUGGCCCUGUAAACCUUGUUCAUAGGGGUCCCUCGAUUUCUGGGACACCUCAUCUGAGCACUGAGGAGGGGACACAGCUGUUGGCUGGGAGGCAGGAGACUGAGUGUUGCCUUCAAGCCAUCCCCACACAUGUGAGCCCAUCAGCAUUCUGCCCUUUCGUGGGUGUCAGUUGUCUCGUCCAUAAAAUGGGAUGAUGUUCUUGUUCCAGCUAGCAUACUGGAUGACUAAAUGAGGGAAUAGGUGAGAAGCUGCGUUGGAAAAAGGAACCAUUCAGCUGCAAGACAUCCUGGUGCAGUUCCCCCAGGGCUAAUGGGGUUUGGUUGCCCACCUGGGCUGUGUCUCUUCGUGGCGCCAGCAGGUGGCAGCAUUGCCUUUGCAUGUGCCGGCUCCACCUCCGGCCUCUCCCAGACAUGCGGCGUGUAGGGCAUGGGACCAGUGUGUAGGGCAUGGGACCAGUUCAAUUCAGCGGUCAGGAGAAGGAGGGAUCUGAAAUGCCCUGAAUGGGAAGGGCCUGGAAAGAAUGAAAACCUCGUUCCUCCCCUCAAAAAAAAAAAAAAAAC